rnacentral:rRNA from 1 species
AACGAACGCUGGCGGCAUGCCUAACACAUGCAAGUCGAACGAGACCUUCGGGUCUAGUGGCGCACGUGUGCGUAACGCGUGGGAACCUGCCCUUAGGUUCGGAAUAACUCCCCGAAAGGGGUGCUAAUACCGGAUAAUGUCUUCGGACCAAAGAUUUAUGGCCUUUGGAUGGGCCCGCGUUGGAUUAGCGAGUUGGUAGGGUAAAAGCCUACCAAGGCGACGAUCCAUAGCUGGUCUGAGAGGAUGAUCAGCCACACUGGGAAUGAGACACGGCCCAGACUCCUACGGGAAGCAGCAGUGGAGAAUAUUAGACGAGGAGCGAAAGCCUGAUCCAGCAAUGCCGCGUAAGUGAUGAAGGCCGUAGGGUUGUAAAGCUCUUUUACCCGGGAUGAUAAUGACAGUACCGGGAGAAUAAGCUCCGGCUAACUCCGUG